CGGCCGGGCGCAGCUGCGCCUCGUCGGGAGCCGCGGGCGGGGCCCGCCCCAAAGCCUCUUAAGCUCCUCCGGAGGCUGCCGGGAGCCACGGGGGAGUUUCUGCGGUUCUGUAUGGGAGACGGAGUGAGUUCUGUUUCUUUGUCGGGCCCUGGUGCUGCUGAGGCUGAGAAGCGGCUGCUGUGAGCCCUUUUGCGGUAAGGACCAGCCCAAACAGGUGAGCGGUUCGGGUAGUAAGGGGACGGUGAGCGCUCAGGAGCCGUCAGGAUCUCCGGAGCUGGCGGCUGUCGGACCCCGCUCUUCUCGGGGCCGGCGUUAGGUCGCCGCCGGGCUCCCCCGGCUGUGCGGAGCCGAUACGGCGCCGCCGCCGCCCGGCUGCCGUCGCGUUUUCGGAGGCGGCUGCCGCUCCGACCCCCGAGUCCUCGCACAGCCCCGGGGUGCUCUCAGCCCCCCUCACCCUCGGGAUUUCUUUUAGCGGGUGCUUCAGUUCUUCAGGCUCUCCUCGGUAGGAGCGAACGCGAUGGGGCCGUAUUCGUGCAGCCUCUGUGCUGCCGGGAGAGAGAAGCGAGGCCAAGGGCUGCUGAAACAAAAGGUUUCUCGUGUUGCAGGCUGAGCGAGGGCUGUAGCAGAGCCUCUCAUCGGCCCGAAGCAGUGAGCUCGUGGAAGCGGUGAGUGUUUGAGAGUCGCUCGGUAAGAUCUCCCCUGCUGGGGCUCCUGUAGGGUUGCUGCCCGACUGCCUCCGUGUCUUUGGGAUCGGCACGGCGCCGCCGCUGGGGGCUCCCGCGUGGCUUUUUAGUAGGACCGGCACGGGGCCUCCGCCCGAGACCGAGCACGAUCCCGGGGUGGCCUCGGCCACUGCGGAGUGUUUUGCGGGUGCUCUCACCCAUCCCGUUUCCAGCGGUGGGAGCGAGCAGGUUGGGACCGUGGUUUUAUUUUUCCCCGCCUCUUCCUUCCCGUGUAACUGCAGGAGCACGAUUUAGGUUCCCACCGUGGAGACCUGGCAGGGCAGCUCGCACGACUGAAGUGCUGUCGUGGAUGGCUCUGUUCCUUUUAGGAAAGGCAGACCGGCCAGGCGGUGGAGUCUCUUUUCGAGGGAGAGAACGGGAACGUAUCGAGCUCCACCUAGGGAUGACUGAAGAACCAGCGGAGCGUUUGUGCGUGAGGCUGAAGAGGCAGGUAAAAGUGGGUGACCUGAGUGGGGGUGUUGGUCACAGACCAGGGUGAGGAAGCUGAUAGACCUUCUGCACACAGCUGGAAAUGGUGCCCACAGCUGUGAGGCUAGUUCUCAUGGUAGGCUCCAGGAGUUUCCUGCAAUGUGUCAAAGGUAAGAUCUUCUGACACAGGUGACGAAGGAGGCAUUGAGGAGCUCCCUAUUGCAGAAGAGCCAUUUGGGGACAGGAAGGCCAGGGGCAGCCUGGAGCGUGCCAGUCGUGAGACCGCAGCGUUUGGGAUCUUGUGUGGAAGCUGCAAAGCAAUGAGUAGGAUUGAAACACUGGACUUAGAGGGAGCCAGGUUUGUCCUCUUGAAGGGCCUACUUGGAGGUAACCCUUGCUCAAGCAUAGGAAGGGGUCCUGUGAAUGCUGGAGCAUUACUUCAUCCAUGCUGAGGUGCACUGCGUCCCAAGGAGGAAGGAAGUGCGCAGGAAUGGUGGGGGACCUGCAGGGCUGACUGAGGAACUUGAAGGGGAGAAGGAAGAGAGAGGCUGAGGAAGGCCAAGUCCUCUGAGUAUCAGCUUUGGGAGGGAGGUCAAGGCUAAUGGAAGUUUGUCAACAGGAGAGACUGGAGAAAUUGCAGGCCUGUGCUUCACAAGGCAAGGGCCUGAGUAAUGGAGGAUGGAGGACAUGCUGGAUGCCUGUUUUGGUUUCAGUGGUCUCUGCUGAGAGUGCUCCUGGGGUCCUGGAGGAGAGAGUCUCAGAGGAAGGUUGCCUUCCCCUCAGUGCAGAGGAGCUGGUCAAAAGUGGUUCAGGCAGAAAGGAGGCCAGCAAAUGCCUGAGCUGUAGAGGGCUAUGCCUGUGCCCGCUGAGAGCUGGCAGCGGUGACCGGCAAAUGGCGCUCUCUGUCACUUUUCCCUGCUGUUUCCUGUGGGGAAAGGUACCUGAAGACUGGAGGAUGGCGGAUGCCACUGCAGCCUUCAGAAAGGGUGUGGAGGAUGGCGUGUGCAACUUGGAGGUAGGUUGGCCUCACCUCUGUUCCUGGGGAGGUGACGUAACAGCUUGUUGCAGGUGUCAUUGCCAUGUGACCGGAAGAGAAGGAAUUUGCAAGGAGCAGUCCAGGUGGAUGGACAGAGGGGAAGUCAUGCCGGACCAAAAGGGCGAGGGCUGCAGCGGAGAGCUUUGCCGAGAGGAUUGGCUGGAGCAGGUGUGCGGUUUCCCCAGCAGUGGGAUGAAGGAGGUGAGAGAGGGGGACCCCCAGGCGCGCCCCCUUGGAGGUGGUUUGUGGAGGUCUCUGUGCAGGUUCAGGCCGGAGGCAGGAUCCUGGUGGUGUGAGCGGGGUGCCCCUGUGGAGCAAGGGUGGAAGGUGCGUGGCAGGCCCUGUCCCGGAGGAGUGGAGUUGAUGGAGCGUGGCCCUUUGAUGCUGGAGUGAGGGGUCCUGGUGGGGCUGAAGUCCUGCGUGGAAGAGGGAGAUCCCAGGCGCUGCGAUGCGGAGGAGGAGCGGAGCCAGCGGUGGCUCCUGUGUGGUGAUGGCUGCUUAGUGGUGGUGUUCCUGGUCCUGGGCUGAAAGGAGGAGGAGGAGAAAGCUUUUAGUGUGUUACUUCAAAGCUCAGGCUUGGAUGACCUUGCUGAGGCUGAACAAGAGUACAAAACCUGUGAGUUAAAUGGGUGGAACAAAACUACAGCUGCUGCACCUUACCGGGCCGAGAGUCGUGACCUGAUCUUCCAUCUUUUACACAAAACGAGUCAGAUCUUCAGCUUGCUGCCACGAGUAACUCACACAUUCUCCAAUUCCUCGUAUGGAAAGAAGGCUUUCUUCUAAGGGAUUAUUCCAAUGCGUAAAAUCGGUGAAUUCACCUGUACAGUAAUGAAAUACUUUCAAUAAUUUCAUGCAAAACUUUCUUUAAGCAGUGCCUUGGGCCAAUCUUUCCAUGUGAGAGCUGCAUGAGUAAAAGUUCUCCUUUCGGUCCAUUUCUGACUUAUUUUUUAUAAUUUAGUUUAAAAGUUCAAGUCAUCCAACCAAAGCUGUGACAACAGGAAUAACAGGCUCGUGGUAUAACAGCAGUAGGAUUUAGGCACCUGUGGAGGGAGAAACACUGAAGAUUUCACCGUGGGUUCAGGGUGGGCCAAACAUUAAAAUCCCUUUCUUGGUUUAAGAUCAGAAUGCACCUUUGUGGGAUUCAUUUCUUCCUUACAUCUCAGUAACCAAGUAUGCAUUGAGUGACCUACACCUUUAAGGGGGAAAAUGGUCUCAGUCAAGCGCUGGAUGAAUAUAAAUAGUAAUAAUAAAAGCCUAUCAGUAAGGAAAAGCUGAGCAUUCUUUUUGAAUGCAAACAUAAUAAUUAAUAAUAAUCAUAAUCAUAAUCUGUGGCACAGGACCCAAAGAGACCUUUUCCUCACAGUUUCACACAGCAGUUCUCUCAUCAGCUCUGAAACCAUCUACCUCUGCAACUCAGAAAGCUUUCUUUUUUUCUUUUCCUGAAAGUUCAAGGAUACGUUAUCCAUUUUCUGGGCAAGUUUAGAACUUUGGGUCUCACUUCUGCAUACACGGAUUCUUCUCUAAAGUCACUAAGACAGAACAAAACCCGAGACCCUCUUUGGACUGCAAAUCCAGAAGCAUUCGACCCUGCGGUUCUGCCAAGCAGUGUGAAACACCGUAUUUGUAUCCGCCUCACGCAGCUCCCGCCCGAGUUUUUUCUCCGCGCUGAGCAUCAGUCUGCAGUCCUCGGUAAUUCCGGUAGAGGGCAAUACAAUAAAGCCAUUCAUAGAGGGCUCUCCGAGGCAGCUGCCGUAACUGGCUCCCACAGAACGCCUCAGGCUUUCUUCUUGUUCUGGAUUGGUGUGCUAAUGCCAAAUAUUUACAAUUGAAUCUUUUUUUGAUCCCGGGAACGCUCAUACUGCUUAUUUCUUCUUUGACAGCACAAACGCACGGGCGCGUUCUCAGUGCCUGAAAACAUCUCUAUGCAAAAAUCAAGAUAUAACUCUCUUUGCUACCACUUUUUUUUUUUGUCUCAUCCUCAGCCAUCCGUUUGAAUGUAAACGUUACAGUAUACCUCACAUCCGUAAGGAGUCUUUACAUUCAGGUGUAGUUUUAAAAAGUCUCAUAGGAACCUCUUGCAGUCGAUUAAUGGGCACAUCGGAAGCAAAUCAACUGGAAGUACGGGAUGAGUGUUAUUUAAUUCUCCCUAGGGCUUUGCUAUUCACACACUCCUCUGUGCAGGUAGAUAUUCACGUGCGUAUGAAAGGAAAACUCACCUUCAAGGCGUAACAAAGGGAAACCCGCACUGGGAUCAUUCGUAGGAAAGCAUCAUUUCACAGUACAUAGGUUUAUGGAUUGUGAGAGAUAGUGAUGCAUUUGUAAGGAUGAUCCCUACGAUAAGGUUCUGUGGUUUUAUUUUCUCAAGUCUAGACGUAUUUAGUCAAUAAUGAUUUCUUCAAAAGAUAGCCACAUCUCCAAGACAAGAACAGAACGGCCACGUGGCAGAUUUCACACAACCUCACAACAGUACCAUGAACUAUACGGGAGUUUCAUAAUUCAUGAAGGAACAAUAUUCCCUCCCGGGCACUAAAACUAGUCCAGAUAACACCAAGAACAGCUGAAAAGCCGGACAGUGUGAUUUCCCCUCUCCUCAAGUAUAGAGAGACACAAGUAUGAAACAGCUGGAAAACAUAUUCAAAGGAUGACAGGCACCACGUCACAGCAGAAGUGCCAGGUAAGCUCAGCGCAAAACAGUCCCUUUACUUCUUUCAUUCUUUCUUUCAUUUGUAACCAGAUUCAUGAGUGGAUGGAAAUGCUUGACAAAGUGAUAAUGAAUCUCUCUGAACGUUUACAUGGUUCCCAUCAGUGCAAAGACUCACCCAGUGCUAAAAGUAAUUCACUACAGUGUGUAAAAAAAAUAAACAAAUCAUUCUCCUUUUCACUGCA
ensembl:lncRNA